rnacentral:misc_RNA from 1 species
AGCAGCCGCGGCAAUUCCAGCUCCAAUAGCGUAUAUUAAAGUUGUUGCAGUUAAAAAGCUCGUAGUUGAAUUUCGAGAUCAAAUUGUUGGUCGUGCCUUGGUACGCACUGGCAUUAUUGGUUUCUCCCUUCUGACGAACCAUGAUGUCAUUAAUUUGGUGUCUUGGGGAAUCAGGACUGUUACUUUGAAAAAAUUAGAGUGUUUAAAGCAGGCUCACGCUUGAAUACAUUAGCAUGGAAUAAUGAAAUAGGACGUUUGAUUCUAUUUUGUUGGUUUCUAGGAUCGACGUAAUGAUUAAUAGGGAUAGUUGGGGGCAUUAGUAUUCAAUUGUCAGAGGUGAAAUUCUUGGAUUUAUUGAAGACUAACUACUGCGAAAGCAUUUGCCAAGGAUGUUUUCAUUAAUCAAGAACGAAAGUUAGGGGAUCGAAGACGAUCAGAUACCGUCGUAGUCUUAACCAUAAACUAUGCCGACUAGGGAUCGGAUGAUGUUAAUUUUUUUAAUGACUCAUUCGGCGCCUUA